rnacentral:rRNA from 1 species
UUGAUCCUGGCUCAGGAUGAACGCUGGCGGCGUGCCUAAUACAUGCAAGUCGAGCGAACGGACGAGAAGCUUGCUUCUCUGAUGUUAGCGGCGGACGGGUGAGUAACACGUGGAUAACCUACCUAUAAGACUGGGAUAACUUCGGGAAACCGGAGCUAAUACCGGAUAAUAUUUUGAACCGCAUGGUUCAAAAGUGAAAGACGGUCUUGCUGUCACUUAUAGAUGGAUCCGCGCUGCAUUAGCUAGUUGGUAAGGUAACGGCUUACCAAGGCAACGAUGCAUAGCCGACCUGAGAGGGUGAUCGGCCACACUGGAACUGAGACACGGUCCAGACUCCUACGGGAGGCAGCAGUAGGGAAUCUUCCGCAAUGGGCGAAAGCCUGACGGAGCAACGCCGCGUGAGUGAUGAAGGUCUUCGGAUCGUAAAACUCUGUUAUUAGGGAAGAACAUAUGUGUAAGUAACUGUGCACAUCUUGACGGUACCUAAUCAGAAAGCCACGGCUAACUACGUGCCAGCAGCCGCGGUAAUACGUAGGUGGCAAGCGUUAUCCGGAAUUAUUGGGCGUAAAGCGCGCGUAGGCGGUUUUUUAAGUCUGAUGUGAAAGCCCACGGCUCAACCGUGGAGGGUCAUUGGAAACUGGAAAACUUGAGUGCAGAAGAGGAAAGUGGAAUUCCAUGUGUAGCGGUGAAAUGCGCAGAGAUAUGGAGGAACACCAGUGGCGAAGGCGACUUUCUGGUCUGUAACUGACGCUGAUGUGCGAAAGCGUGGGGAUCAAACAGGAUUAGAUACCCUGGUAGUCCACGCCGUAAACGAUGAGUGCUAAGUGUUAGGGGGUUUCCGCCCCUUAGUGCUGCAGCUAACGCAUUAAGCACUCCGCCUGGGGAGUACGACCGCAAGGUUGAAACUCAAAGGAAUUGACGGGGACCCGCACAAGCGGUGGAGCAUGUGGUUUAAUUCGAAGCAACGCGAAGAACCUUACCAAAUCUUGACAUCCUUUGACAACUCUAGAGA